rnacentral:rRNA from 1 species
AUACGGAGGAUGCGAGCGUUAUCCGGAUUUAUUGGGUUUAAAGGGAGCGUAGGCGGGAGCUUAAGUCAGCGGUUAAAUGGUGCGGCUCAACCGUGCCCUGCCGUUGAAACUGGGUUUCUUGAGAGUGCAAGAGGCGGAUGGAAUUCAUGGGGUAGCGGGGAAAUGCUUAGAUAUCAUGAAGAACUCCGAUUGCGAAGGCAGUCCGCUGGGGCACGUCUGACGCUGAUGCUCGAAGGUGCGGGAAUCAAACAGGAUUAGAUACCCUGGUAGUCCGCACGGUAAACGAUGAUUACCCGCUGUCGGCGGCAGACAGUCGGCGGCCAAGCGAAAGCGAUAAGUAAUCCACCUGGGGAGUACGCCGGCAACGGUGAAACUCAAAUGAAUUGGCGGGG